GAAGAAGAUAGAGGUGCUGAGAGGUGGUCACUGGAUGACAGAAUGGAUGUCUGCUUGUAGCGCUCACAACCUCGAACUGAAGAGAAAGAUCCAGCAGUUAGAGGAGACCAACAGUGCUCUGCUGGAGCAGCUGAGUCGACUACAGGCUCUCAUUCCUAACUAACAGUUCCAGCAGAACAACACACAAAAGGACUUACAUCCUGGUUUUGCUCCUGUCCUUCUCCCUGCUCAUUUCCUCAAAUCUUCUGCCAGACCCUUACAGCCAACUCAGCCAAGGAGACUACAUGGAAACCAAAGUGUCAUCCUGCUCCUUGCAGUUGAUGGAUGAAGUGCAAGAUGUCCCUUCUUCUCUUCCUUCCCCAUCUGUCUCCAGAGACUUUGAGGCCCUGUGCAACCUAACAAAGAAACUCUGCCACCAGACAGAUCUCCCCAUGAUAGACUUCCCACCCUCUCAUGAGCAGGAUCACAGGCACCAGGACCAUCACCAGUCUCCUGGGGACAAUCCAGAGAAGUAGCAAAGCAGUGCAGCAUCCAAAUGUUUUACUCUACAGAGACUGGGUGAGGUGUUGGUGUGUUUGCCAUCUGCUUCAACAUACAAACAGCUAAUUAAAGGAUUGUUCCAAGACAAAGUCAUCCACAAAGAGAAAGUUUAUCAUUUCACUCAGGGGCCAGGGAAUUGUUGCUGACAUACUACAGCUGCUAUAUGACCUGUAA